GGCUACUAUACUAUUAUGAGUAUAGAGCCUUUCGUACUCAUAAGUUGUUUUCGAUGUUAGGGUUUUUGAAUUGACGAUCCACACCGUUAAACAUGAUCUAGAGUAUUUGAAACUUCUAGAAAAUAAAUUUCGUAAUUUUUCGAAAUCAUUAUAAAGUCCAUCAAGCGGGUAUAAAAUGAACGGUCAAAAUCGAACGACAUCCUAAAAAUGGAUGAUCGGAUCCUUCAAUUUAAGAUCGGAGUUAUUGUUCUUUAUUUAGGUAGUGAAUAGAAUUUUCUAUCAAAAAUUCAAUCUAUUCCGAUUCUUUUACACCGUUAAACUAACAAAUAUUUCAUACCGGCCGUUAAAAAUUGUCAAUUUUGUGAGCUUUUGAUCGUAGGGAAAAUGAUAUCGAAAAAUUAUAAAAUUUAAUUUUUAGAAGUUUUAAAUGCUUUAGAUAAUGUUUAACGGUAUGGAUCGUCGAUUCGAAAGCUCUAUCAUCGAAAACAAUUUAUGAGUACGAAGUCGAUCGUACUCAUAAGAGUAUAGUAGCCGGACUCUAUAUAUAUAUAUAUAGAGAGAGAGAGAGAGAGAGAGAGAGAUAUAUAUAUAUAUAUAUAUAUAUAUAUAUAUAUAUAUAUAUAUAUAUAUAUAUAUAUAUAUAUCAAAUGGUUAAAAUAGUAUCUACCCGUCGUGAAGCGUGAGGCAUGGGCCCUACACUAGUUCAGGUUGAAAUAUCUGAAGUGGCUUGGAUCUAGAAACUUGUUAUAUGCGUUAUCUGAAUUAUAUUUUUAGAUGACACUUGCAUCAUGGUUUUAUGAUUGAUAAUGUGUUUUCGUUAAUAUUCUUUCUUGUUAAGCAAACUCAGCUGUUUUUAUAGAUUUAUGCAAUUAGUUAGUUUAUUACUCUUAUGUUAUCUAAUCAUCUAAAAUAUUUUACCAUAUUUUAUUUAAAAUAAUAUAUAUAAUUAAUCAACUUUAUUUAGUGUGUCUCCACAUAUUGCAUCCUUGUAUUUUUGGAAUGUGAAUAAGUUGGUUUUACUGUAUUUGGUAGAAAUAGGAUGCGAAAUGAGUUCCUUUUUGGUUUACAAUGUUAGAUUGAUUAAGUUGCUCGACCUUUUCGGAACCUAAUAGGUGCAUAAUUUCAUGGCAAUUGUUUAGGGUCAGCGUGGUAUUUUAUCUAUGGAGUUGCUCUGGAAGAUGUUAAUCACUGUCGUUGUGUUUGUCCUACUAGUAUGUGGCUGAUAAAAAAGGCUAAAAGGGUUUGGAAGGACCUAGUUUUAGUAGAUUCCAGUGUGAAGAGAGCAAAAUAUAGUUUUGAUUAGGAUGGUAGAUGGUGAUUGAUUCUCAGAGUUCAGCGUUGUAUUGUUUGUGCUUGCAUUCUAUCACUACUUGCAAGCGGUGUAAGAAAUCAGAUUUGUAUAGAUUCCUUGUCAGAUGUAUUUCCGGAAUACAUGAUUUUGUUUAUGUAACAAUGUUGGGGUGUAUUACAUGUGAUGGAUGCUAUUGGUACCUGAGGUUCCAUUAGUGACAACAUCAAUAUGAAAAGUAUGGCAUUAAUUUAUUAUCAGAUAGGAGGUCUAUGAUCUGAAUGCUAGAAAAAUUUGAUGCUUUAUGUAGAGUCAGAUUGACACUUAUCUGUGUUGGUUGUAUAGCAUGUUUUUAAAAAACCUGUACACGUAUGAUGUUUAACUUGAUGAUUGUAAUAUAUUUUGUUUAACCUUAUCCAGUGUAUACCUCAGUCUAAAUUCAAAUAGUUCGAACAUAAUGUUGUCUAUGCUAUUAGAACCAUUAUAACCCACAAUAUGAUGGAUGCGUGCUCUAUCAUUUGAGCUCAGACAGCUUGGUAUUUAUCUAACUAUUAACUUUCGAGAAAAUUAAAUUUAAUCAUUUUCAUUAUUUAGUCUAGAAAAGACAUUCAUUAGGCUUUAUUGUUCCUUGGGAUGGCAAGUCUAUGUUGAUUUACUUGUUUCAUCAGCUCUCUUUAACAUAUAUUAUCCUGUAAUUAUAUCCUCCAUUCUUACAACUCUAGUAUACCUUGUGUUACACUCAUCUGCACUCUCCUGCUCAUAAAAGGAGUUUCUGCUUGCAGGAUGGUUCUAUUACUGGAAUUACUGGUUUACAGCCGACUUCCUAUAAAGGUAUUUUUAUGUUAACCGAGUGUAAACUUGAUCACUUUAUUUUGUGAUGAUUCUGGGACAUUGUAUGCGGCACUGUUUGUAACAUUUCUCUGGUGUUUUUUAUCUGUCAUAAAUUAGCUGUACGAAGAUCGCUUUUCUUCUGUGUCCUCUUCAUGUGAUCUCUGUCAGAAAUUCCUAUGCUUAAUCAGUUUCUGUUGAUCCAAUAUUUCCCUUUAGUUGCUGGUAACUUUGGACCGUGUCUGAUUUUACCUUAUGAGUAUGUGAUGGUUAAAUGUCUUAUUCUAAGAUGGUCAGUUUCACUUUAUUUGUUUGGUUUUGUUUAGUUUUUGUCCAUUUUGGUUUGUUUGCUCUGCAUCAGAAACAGUAUGAUGGCCGAGAUGCGAAGUGCAUUUCUUUUUGAUAUUGGCUGCAGCAAAAGCCUAUCUGUUUCCUGAUAACUUGAGAGUGGUUUCUUAGUUUUGGACUUACAACCUUAAAGUAAGUUACAGACAUAUGUUUUUGACAUCUCUCGCCUUUAGGCAAAGUAUUAGAUAGAAGGCUGAAGAUGCCACACUACUAAUAUUCGAAUCUCACAAAUAUAAAGUUGCUAGAUUCUCUUUCUUCUCACUUUCCUUUUUUUUUUUUUCUCUUUUUCUUAAGAUUCCUCAGUUUCUUCUGCUGUAACUGUUCCACUUCUUUCUUGUUUAAUUAUAGUUGCAAAAUAUGAGGCACUCUAUAAGGUGUAGUAACAGUUUCUGAUGGCUUGAAACUAUUUAACCUUACAUUGCCAGAAAUUGCCUUCCUUUUUCUAUCCUAAUUAGGUCUGCGUCCUCUCAGUCAUUCUCAUAUACUUUGUACUUAGGAGUAAACGUAGAAUCCUAUUCACUUUACCAUCAUGUAGUUUGGAGUUCAGACUACUAUAUACUUCACCAACAUGAGAUUGUCUUUCCAAUUCCCAAUUAGGACCUUGCUGUCGGUUUUUGAGCACGAGACAAAUUAUGUGGCAAACUAAAAAUGCUAUUUAAGCAUUUAAUUACUUCAAAUCUCAUCGAUCCUCUUAAUAAAUAUUUGCUCAAGGAACCAUGUGAUUGUCACAUGUUUAAUUUCCGUGGCGCUUCAACAGCAAGUCCUAUCAGGAAACUAGAGAAGCAACUAACAGUGAUUCUGAACAAUUGAUUCAAAAUACGGAGAUUUUGGGAAAGGGACGCAAUUAAUUUGUGAUCUGAUCUCUCAUUUUAACUCUCGGUUGUAACAAAUUUUUAGUCGUGGAUAUGUGCUGUAACGUAUAUAGGAAAGCAGGCAAACCAAUAAACUGAGACAUGGUAAUUUUCUUUCUAAUUUUCAUGAUUAUAGCCCUAAUUCUGCAGAAUUUUUCAGUUAAAGCAUGAUGAAAUAUUAGCUAGUCAAACCUUAAUGAGACUCUGAUCUUGUUUUGUAUGCAGGGAGUAAAUCAGAGCCGCCUCAAAGGAAAAGGAAACUCAGAUGACUGUUUCUUGGAGUGGCUUUAGGGACUAGGUCAUCACUCUCUACGCCUCAGUUACUGAAGUUAGGCGAUCGGUUAGGAGUGACAGGCUUGUAAAUUUUGCUUACACUUCGAAUGUAAUGUACAAUUACCUGUUUUAUCUUUCAGAUAGUUGCAGAAGUUUCACUUUUGGGUUGUUUCCUUCUUCAAAAUGUUUAGGUGCAUAUACAAGAAGAUUUCGAGAUGGUAUCUUACGGCUUUGUGUAGAAUGGUUGUUAUCGUUUGCCGUUAUGCCGGGAAAAGCUAGGAACAGAAUGAAAUUAUGUCAACAUUCUCAGUUAAAUUAUUGCUCUAGCUCUGAUCUUUGGUUUUGUGUGGUUUCUUGCUACCAACAGGGCUUUUUACUCUUUUCUUUUUCUUCUUUUUUUUUUCGUUCGAGAUUUGUUUCGCUUAAUCAUCUUAAUGAAAGAAUUUCUAUAUAGCAUUCAGGCAACUGUCAAGUUUAAAGGGUUUUGCCAUGAUGCAAAGUAGAAAUAUGGCUACUAGGAUGCUGCCGUUAAAGCACUACAUUAUUGACAGUUACUACAUAAAAGUACUGCAUUACUAUUUUGGGCCCUGAAAUGAAAUUCUUCUGCUAUAUUUUGGUUCAUUUUGGGUCUAUGUAUCUCAAACAUGAAAGGUAAGGAUUAAAAUAAAAUAUUUUUAGAAGAUUAGUGGCUAAAUUGAAUACUUGCUGAAUGUUUGGAGUUUCAAUUGGCAAAAUCAACAGUUUGAUGACCAAAAUGAAACGUGAGUCGAAGUUCAGGGACUAGCAGUGCAAUUUUUUGUUAAAAAAAAAUAAAAUUCUAAAACAAACCUUUCGACUUAGACAAGCCGGGGGUUUAAGGAUGCAAAUGGAUCCGGAUUGAUGUAGCUUCUGUCCUGAUCUGCCUCUAAAGAAAUAAAAUUAAUAAAAAAAGAAAAUAAUCUGUUUCGAAUCCAUUCUGAUCCGCUAAGGAAAUGGAACGGGAGGCAGGAGGUGAGAGGCCACUCCGACCGUGGAUCCAACCCAUUUGCAUCUCUGCAGGGGUUUAGCACAUGAUCUCGCUCUCACCCUACUUAAUCAGAAUUAAACCCAAAAUUUGUUGGUUCGGAUCCAAUUGCGAGUUCGGGUCCGGCAUGGUGCAAAAUACCUUACCUAUCCAGCAGUUUCAAGUUUUGUGUUGUGCAAAUACCCUGCCUAUCCAAUAUUGAUUAAGAUUUCAUAUGUAUCCAACCAGCAUUAGACCUAUUGCUGAACUGCUGCUAUCAAGGUGGUAAGGCAUUAGUAUAGAUUUACCAAUAUCUCAGUGGAAAUUAAGGUAUCGGUAUGAGUUUAUUUGACUAUCUUAGUGCUAAGGUAUCGAAAAAAGUGGACAAGUAUUUCAGUAAUAAGACAUGAUGCUGGUAGUGUAAGUAUGCAUAAUUCCGGUACAAUAUUGGUAGUUAAUAUGUGGAGGGGGAAAUGGAUAAAUUUCAACCAAGAGUUAACAUGAUUUAAUUAGUUUUCUUUCAACAUCUUAAUGCUAGAGGCAUCACAAUCCUAGCUAAUAAACAUGUAACUAAACGCUAGGGCUUUCAUUUAGGACACAAAUAUAUUUUGACCCAGUUUUCUUUUAUAUAUAUAUAUAUAUAUAUAUAUAUAUAUAUAUAUAUAUAUAUAUAUAGAGUGCGUUUGGUAUGCUUCUGGAAGCACGGAGCGCUCCGUGUUUCCAAGUUGUUUUCGAUCUUCCGACUUUCGAAUCGAAGAUCGGCUCCGUUAGAGUUGAUCUAGAGUAUUUGAAGUAUCUAGAAAAUAAAUUUUACGAUUUUUCAAUAUCAUUUGCCUAGUGAUCGAAGUGGCUCAAAAUCAACGGCUGAAAAUAAAAAUCUUACAAAAUAUGAUGAUAUGACAUUAAAAUUUUAGAUCAAAGUUAUUGAUCUUGUUUUAUAUGGUAUAAAGAAUUUUCUAUCAAAAUUUCAUGUGAUUUGAAUAUUUCUACACUGUUAAACUUGCAAACGGCUCACCACGGCCAUUAAAAUUAUUGAUUUUGAGCCCCUUCGAUCACUAGGCAAAUGAUAUCGAAAAAUCACAAAAUUUAUUUUCUAGGUACUUCAAAUACUCUAGAUCAACUCUAAUGGAGCCGAUCGUCGAUUCGAAAGUCCAAACAUCGAAAACAACUUGGAAGCACAGAGGACUCUGUGCUUCCAGAAGCAUACCAGCCCACUCCUAUAUAUAUAUAUAUAUAUAGGGUCCGGCUACUAUACUAUUAUGGGUACGAUCGCCCUCGUACUCAUAAGUUGUUUUCAAUGAUAGAGCUUCCGAAUCGACGAUUCACACCGUUAAACGUUAUUUACAACAUUUAAAACUUCUAGAAAUAAAAUUUUAUAAUUUUUCGACAUUAUUUACCUUACGAUCAAGAGGUUACAAAUUUGACAAUUUUUAACGGUCGGUAUGAGAUACUUGCUAGUUUAAUGGUGUAAAAGAAUCAAAAUUUGUUGAAUUUUUGAUAGAAAAUUCUAUUCACUACAUAGAUAAAGAUCAAUAACUUCGAUCUUGAAUUGAAGGAUCCGAUCAUCCUUUUUUAGGACGUCAUUCGAUUUUGACCGUUCAUUUUAUGCCCACUUGAUGGACUUUAUUAUGAUUUCAAAAAUUUACGAAACUUAUUUUCUAAAAGUUUCAAAUACUCUAGAUCAUAUUUAACGGAGUGGAUCGUCGAUUCGGAAGCUCCAUCAUUGAAAACAACUUAUGAGUACUAGGGCUCCAAUACUCAUAAUAGUAUAGUAGCCAUGGCCUAUAUAUAUAGAGCUAGGCUCCUAUGCUUUCGAAAGUACGGAGGCCUCCGUGCUUGUAAGUUGUUUUCAAUGAUGGGACGUCAGAUUUGGCGAUCGGUUUCGUUAAACAUGAUCUACGCUAUUGGAACUAUCUAGAAACCAAAUUUCAUAAUUUUUUGACUUCGUUUGCCUAGUGAACGAGUAGCCUCAAAAUGAACGGUUAAAAAUAAAAAUCUCAUAAAAAAUAGUGAUAAAUCACUCAAAUUUCAAAUCGGAAGUAUUGUUCUUGCUCUUGACGUUAAGUAGAAUUUUUUAUUGAAGUUUUAUGUAAUUUGGAUACUUCUACACCGUUGAACUUAAAAAUGUGCCACAUCGGCCGUUAAAAUAGUCAUUUUGAAACCCUGUGAUCACUUGGUAUAUAAAUGAUAUUGAAAAAUUAUAAAAUUUGGUUUCUAGAUAGUUCCAAUAGCAUAGAUUAUACCUAACGGAGCCGAUCGUCGAAUUGGAUGUCCUAUCAUCGAAAACAACUUAUAUAUAUAUAUNNNNNNNNNNNNNNNNNNNNNNNNNUUAAAAAUCGGCGGUUGGGAUGAUGUGGCACCUAGGAGUUGAGUGGAUGGUUGGCUAGAUAGGUGGAUGUGCAUCAACGGAGUGAAAUCUAAAGUGAAUCUAACGGCGAAAAAUUGUCAGACAAUGCUUCGUGCUAUUAAUAGUAUAGUGAAGGAGGAGGCAUAUAUGACCCAUAUAGAAUUAUUAUAAGUAGCAACGAGAGUUAUUAUUACUAUCCCCAGGCGACACCCACACUGAGGAGGGGGCCGAUCCGAGAUCCCCACCGAAACACGGCCGCGCACCCGGCGUGAAGCCCGCCGACGGCCCCCGUUCCGACCGUCCGCCCCUGCCGGCCAGACGCGCUUCCACUUCCUCCCCCCAGCUCCAAAGGACCACACAACCACGCCGGCCCACCCCAAACCGGUAAGACCGCCCAAACCCGCCUGAAGAUCUCGAUCCGCCACGCGAAAAGCACAGUACAGUGAUGACCCGAAACCCCGAACAUACACUGCGAUCCCCGCCCGCAAUGCGUCCUCAAAUCCUCCUGUACACACAGGAAGAAGCGUAAAGAGCCAAACUCACCCAUCCGCUUAACACAACCGCGCACCCACCGCUCCACUCACCGCCCCAACAACAAUGACACACCCAAAAGGGUCUCCCCAAGACAUCCUAAACCCCACGCGCGAUCCACCUCACACCGCCAGCGCCAGCGAACCCACUCGGGGCAACGCGAAAACAUACACCGGCAGCCGCGGCGCCCCUGCUGCACUGACUACCACACGCAACGGCGAAUCCGGGAUGGCGCACGGGCAGAUAAUAGGAUGGAGAGCUGACGGCCACAAGGACGAGGCAAAUCCCGCACCCAAACAGACCCGCUCGCACCGCCAGGGCACCACGGCCCAACCAACGGCACUCCCCCUCGGGCCCUCACACUGACACCCGCCCUGCCCCCCAGCGUCGCGACUCGCGUCACUUAACCAAUCCGUCGCUCGCAUCUCAUCACAUACCAACAUAAAAAUGAAAUAUACAACAACACUCUGAUAUUACAUUAUACAUCGUUCUUCUCUACACACCCCCAAAAUCUGAAUUGAUCUUUACAAAAAUUUUACAAUAAAUUUUAUUUAAAACUAAUUUAUUAUAUUUUAUUAGAAAAUAUUUUAUCCACCGUUUCUUUUAUUUAUAUACAUCGAAUCAUUUUAUAUAACUUUUUGAUUUUUGAUGAUUCAAAUUUUAAAUAUGUAUUUUAAACUAAAAGCAGCAUUAAUUCAACUAUUAAUUUAAAAUUUAAAUUUUAUUUGAUUCCCGUAAUAAAAAAUUAAUUAUAUUCGAAUUUGAUAUCAAAAAAAUUAAUUUAAUUCAUAAUUUAAACCAAAUUUAUUUUAAUCUAAAAUAGAUUUAAUAGAAAUGCUAUUUUUUAACAAAUUGUCGAGUGUAAGCGGUUUGUUUUAAUUGAGUAGAGUAUUUUUAACAGAUUGAUUUAUAUGAGGAUUGAUUUUAAUUAGAUGAUAAAUUUUGCCGAAAAAAAAAAUUUGCGCUAUUUUUUAAUUAAGAUUGAUUAUGAACUGUUGUUUUUGAGAUAUUUUUUUUAAAAAUUGUAUUCAUAACCUUUAAGGUUCGAAUUUUUAUAUGUAUAGAAAUUUAAUAUUGAAGUAUUGAUCAUAUACGUGUCGUGUUUUAUUUGACAUAUUUUUAAUGCAAUAAUCAUAAUCAUUCGUAGGGAUAUUAUUUAUAUUUAUAUAGAUUGAUCAUAACGUUAAUUUUUUAUUUUUGAGAUAAAUUUUUAACAAAUUAUCAUAAGCAUUCGUAGGUAUAAUUAUUUUAUUACAUUUUUGGAUUCGUUAUUCAUUGUCGGAAUUACUAUACGCUUUUAUAUAUAUAUAUAUAUAAUAUAUAUAUAUAUAUAUAUGAGAGGAGAGAAGAGAGGAGAGAAGAGAGAGAGAGAGAGUUGAGCUAGAAUAUUCAAAAGUACAUGAAGGUGUUGCUUUAAGUUUUUUAACCAUAAUGGAGAUGUAUAGGUUGAGAUGAUGUGGGUAGGAUGUGAUAGGUGGAUAUAGUGUUUGAUCAAUGGCUAUUAUAAUUGUAAGAAGUAAAAAACAAGGAUUUCAAAGGGCAAAAAAACUAGAAGCACCAAGGGUUGGUGUUCUAAAAGUAUUCUAGGUCAAUUAUAGUAUAUAUAUAUAUAUAUUUAUAUAUAGUAUAUAGUAUACUAUAAUAGAGAGAGAGAGAGAGAGAGAAGAAGAGCGGAAGGACGAGAGGGAGAUUGUUGAGCUAUCAAAAAAAAAUAAAUAAAAAGAAAUACUAUCGAUAGUAAACGGGCUGCCGUUGCCAACCGUCAUUGUUUUUCGAUGAUUGGGGCUCAAAUCGACGAUCGACACCCGUUGAAUACAUUAUCUAUCCACUUAAAGUGUUUAGAAAUAAAUUUCAAUAUUUCCGACAUCAUUUGCCUAAGUGAUGCAAGGUUUCAAAAUUUGUUAUUUGAUGAUCGAUUAGAGGGUUUUUAGUUAACGGCGUAAAGAUACCAAUCAAUUAAAUUUUUGUUAGAAAAUUCUUUAAACUAUUUAAAACAAGAUAUAUACUUUGACUGAUUACUAACUCCUAUCUCAUUUUUAAAAAAUAUUCAUUUUCAGCUGUUCAUUUUUUUUGUCACACUAUAGAUAAGAGAAACAUAUCGAAAUGUAUGAAAUUGAUUUCUAAACACUUUAAGUUGUAUAGAUCAUUUAAACCGGUGCUGAUCGGUUCGAUUGGAGGUCCAUCAUCGAAAAUAAAUGGAUGGAACGGAGCCGUUUUCUAUAAUAGUAUUGUCUACUCAACUCUAUAUAUAUAUAUAUAUAUAUAUAUAUUAUAUAUAUAAUUAUGUAUAUAUAUAUUUAUAUAUAUAUAUUGUUUUUCGAUGAUAAGGACAAUCAAUUCAGACUGAUCGGCUCUAUAUAUAUAUAAUUAUAUAUAUAAUAUAUAUAUAUAUCCAACCCCUUGGUGCUUCUAAGUUUUUUGCCCUUUGAUCUACUUCUUAAUUACUAAUAGCCUUUGGAUCAAACACUAUUCCACCUAUCACCACCUACCACCAUCAUCUCAACCUUACAUCUCUCCAUCUAAUGGUUAAAAACUUAAAAGCACCACCUUCAUGGUACUUUUGGGAAUAUUCUAGCUCAACUNNNNNNNNNNNNNNNNNNNNNNNNNCAUCUAUAAAUUCAAUCCUAUGAACGAUUAUAAUCAAUUUGUUAAAAAAUAUCUCAAAUUAAAACAAACGGUUAUGAUCAAUUUGUUAAAAAAUAGCAUUUCUAUUAAUCUAUUUUAUAUUAAAAUUAAAAUUUGAGUUUAAAUUAUGAAUUAAAUUUAAUUUUUUGAUAUCAAAUUCGAAUUAAUAAUUAAUUUUUUUAUUACCGUGGAUCAAAAUUAAAUUUUAAAUUUUAAAUUAAAUGUGAAUUAAAUUUUGCUGCUUUUAGUUUAAAAUACAUAUUUAAAUUUGAUUCAUCAAAAAUCAAAAAGUAUAUAAAAAUGUUCGAUGUAUAUAAAUAAAAGAACACGGUAGGAUAUUAUAAAUAUUUUCUAAUAAAAUAUAAUACAUUAGUUUAUAAAUAAAAUUUUUAUUGUAAAAUUUUGGAUAUAUAUAAUGUACAAAUUUAUAUGAGUCUGGCUACUAUACUAUUAAUAGCACGAAGCACUUGGUGCUACCAAGUUUUUCGCCGUUAGAUCUACCCUUUUGAUUAUUUUCAUCCGUUAGAUCAUACUAUUCAGCCAACCACCCACUCAACCCUAGGGGGCCCACAUCAUCCCAACCGCACAUGUUUUAAUCCAAUGACCAAGUUAUUGGUGCUAUUAGUUUUUUAGCCCUUGGAUUAAGAAAUGUACGGUUAGGAUGAUAUGGGCUCCCUAGGAUUGAGUGGGUAGUUGGUUGAAUAGUAUAAUCCAACGGGUAAAAAUAAUCAUAGGGGUUAAUCUAACGGCAGAAAACUUGCUAGCACCAAGUGUUUGGUGCUAUCGAUAGCAUAGCAGCCGGACUCUCUCUCUCUCUCUCUAUAUAUAUAUAUAUACUAGUUGAAUGUACGUGCAAAUGCACAUAACAAUUAUUAUGAUUUAUUUCAAAUCAACAUAAAUUGAGUAGGGCUACUGUGCUAUUAGGAGCACAGCAGCCAUUGUGCUCCUAAGUUUUUAACCACCGAUCAAAUUUGAUCGGUGGUUAGGAUGAAUGGGAGAAGAGAAAUUGGAGAGAAAUUCAAAGAGGAGAAAUUGAGAAACCCAAUUUCUCUCUAAUUACUCUUCUCCCUUUUCACCCUAACCAUCCAUCAAAUUUGAUGGGCGGUUAAGAACUUAGGAACAAGGUCUGUUGUGCUCCUAAUAGCACAGUAGCCCUACUCAUAUAUAGUUCGGCUGGGAUACUAUCAAUAGUACGAAGCAUUGUGUGCUAUCAAGUUUUCUGUCGUUAUAUUUACCUCUAUUAUCAUUUUUAUCCGUUCAAUUAUACUAUUCAACCAACCACCCACUCAAUCCUAGGGGGCCCACAUCAUUAUAAUCGUACAUCUUUUAAUCAAAGGGCGAAAAACUUAAUAGCACCAAGUCAUUGGUGCCAUUAAUAGUACUCCAACAUAGUUAUAUAUAUAUAUAUAUAUAGUGUGAGGCUACUACGCUUCUGGAAGUACGGAGCCUUCCGUGCUUCCAGGUUGCUUUCGAUGUUGUGACUUUCGAAUCGUCGAUCGGCUCCGUUAAAUUUGAUCUAGAGUAUUUGAAGUACUUAGAAAAUAAAUUUUAUGAUUUUUCGAUAUCAUUUGCCUAGUGAUCGAAGGGACUCAAAAUCAAUAAUUUUAAUGGCCAUAGUGAGCCGUUUGCAAGUUUAACGGUGUAGAAAUAUCCAAAUCACGUGAAAUUUUGAUAAAAAUUUUUUUAUACUAUAUAAAACAAGAUCAAUAUCUUUGAUCUAAAAUUUUAAUGUCAUAUUAUCACGUUUUGUAAGAUUUUUAUUUUCAGCCGUUGAUUUUGAGCACCAUCGUUCACUCGGUAAAUAAUAUCGAAAAAUCACAUAAUUUAUUUUCUAGAUACUUUAAAUACUCUAGAUCAAGUUUAACGGAGCCGAUCGACGAUUCGAAAGUCGCAACAGGUAGCGUUUUACGAUAAAUGGUUUCGUGUACGAAAACAGCAUUUUCAAAAAGUAAUUGUUCGGUGGAUUAUGUUUUAAAACUUGGAAUGUGAAAACUGUGAUGUGAAUGUGUGAAUGUCAAUGAAUGUAUAAGUUAUGUUCUAUAUUCAAUUAGUGGUGGUUGUAUCUGCGUCUGUACUCAUUCUACUUGGCUUCGACGCCCGCGCAAACUUACAGGGGAGACUCUGUCGUAUGUGAACACUGGCGAUAUCCUGUAUUUGGCUGAUAGGAUACGUUGGGUUCAAGUUUUCAAAAAAAAAAAAUUUAACGCUUUUCGCUAUCUUUUAACUGAAAGGACCCGGGGCGUACAAGUACUCAAGCCCUAGGGGCCACAAUCAUUCUAACGCAAUUUAUUAAUCCCAAAGGCCCAAAACUUACAAGACCAGUAACUCAGCUACUUGUUAAAGCAUCGGGCUCAUUAUAAUAUAAAUAGUAUAUAUAUAUUAUAUAUAUAUAUAUAUUAUAUUAUAUAUAUAUUAUAUUUUAUUUUAUAUAUAGAAUAAGGUACUAUUGACAUCGGAAGCACGGAGCCUUCCGUGAUUCCGCCUUCGUUUUCGACGAUGUUUGCAACUUUCGAAUUCGUCGAUCGGUCUCCGGUUAACUUGCAUCUUAGAAUAUUUGAAGCUACAUAAACAUAAAUUAUGGACAAUUUUUGAUAUUAUUUGCCUAGUGACUCAUGAAGGUCUCAAAAUCAACGGCUUGAAAAUAAAGAAUCUUCACAAAACGUGCAUAAUAUGACGUUAAAUUUCCGCAAUUAGAUCAAAGAUUAUUGAUCUUGUUUAUAUAAGCCAUAAAGAAGUUUUCAUAUUAAUAUUUCACGUUAAUUGGAUUUUCUUACACUUCGCGUUAAACUUGCAAACCGCUGCCUGCGGCUAUUAAAUUAUUAUUUUGCAGCCCUUCGAUCACUAGGGCAAACAUCUAUAUCAAUAAAUAUCAGAGAACUUUAUUUUCUAGGUUCUAUCAAAUAUUCUAGAUCAUUUACAGAGAUAAGACCGAGAUCAGACGAUUCGAAGUCGCACAUCGGCAAAAACGCGAGCGGAAGACACGGAGGUCGAUGCUUCGAUAGCAUAGGAGAAUCACACACACACCACUAUGGAGAGGGUACUAUACUCUUCAUGAGUAUAGAACCCUUCGUCUCAUACGUUGGUUUCGAUUCUAUUGGGGUUAUAUAAUAUAGAGUCCGGCGAUAUGGAGUGCUUGGUAAAGGCACAAAGACUUUGGGCCUUGUAAAUUUUUUACCGUUUAGAUCUCUCGCUUCGAUCAUUUUUAUCCUUUAGUUGAUACUAUCUCAAGCCAACCCCAUCAACCUAGGGGGCCACGUCAUACCAACCGACAAUGCUAUUACAAUCCAAAGGCCAAACUUAUCAAUGCACCAAAUAACUUAGUACUUUUAAAGCAUAGGGAGCAUCAAUUAUAUAUCUUUAAUAAUAUUAUAUUACUAAUAUAAUUAUAUAUAUAUUAUAUGUAUAUACUAUAUAUUUUUACUAUAUAUAUAUAGUUAAGGCCUACUUAUGCUAUCGGCAAGCACGGGAGCUUACGUGCUNNNNNNNNNNNNNNNNNNNNNNNNNGCAAACUCGAAAAUGAGCUGGAGCCGGAAGGCUCCUGUCACUAUCCAGAUAGGCAUAGUUAGCCCUCAAUUAUAUAAUAAUUUAAUAUUACUAUGAGUAGAGGCUAUUAUACUUCUGAAAGCAGGCCUUCUGUGCUUUCAGGUCGUUUUUCCAUGUUGGACUUUCGAAUCGUCGCUCGCUCCGUUAUUGAUCUAGAGUAUUUGAGCCAUCUGGAAAUAAAUUUUAUGAUAUAAUUUCGAUAUCAUUGCUAGUGAUCGAAGGGGACAAAUCAAUAAUUUUUAAUGACCGUAUGUUGAGCUGUUUGCAAGUUUAACGGUGUAGAAAUAUCCAAUCACGUAUAAUUUUUUGAUUAGGAAAAUUUUCUAUAUAUAAUUUAGAUCAAUAUCUUGAUUAAAUUUAUGUAUAUUAUCAGUUUUGUAGAUUUUUAAUUUCAGCCAGUUGAUUAUUUUGGCCCCUAUCGAUUCACUUAGGCAUAUAUCGAAAUCUCAUAAUUUAUUUUCUAGAUACUUAAAUACUUAGAUCAAGUUUUAAACGGAAGCCUAUUCGACGAUUCGAAAGUCCGCAACAUCGAAAAUGACCUUGAAGCACGGAAGGUUCGUUGUUCGAAGCUAGUAACCUCACCACAUUAAUAUAUAAUAUAUAUAUAUAUAUAUAUAUAUACUAUAUAUAUAUUAGAGAGAAGAGGGAUGAAGAGACGAGACGAGAGAGAGAUGGAGAGAGAGAGAGAGAGAACGAGUACGGCUAUUAUACUUUAUAAGUAUAGAGCCUUUGUAAUCAUAAAGUUUUUGACGUUGAUAUACCUUUAAUAUUUCACCAUUAGAUCUAUAUAUUAACCACCCCAAUUAACCCUAGGGGGCUCCACUAUCACCACCGUAACUACUUUAAUCACUUAGCGUAUAUUUUUACAUCUGAAAGCUGUUAAACUUGAAUGGUACAAGGGCUCUAAUACUCAUUAUAGUAUUAGUAGCCUAGACUAUUUAUAUAUUAUAUAUAUUAUUAUAUAUAUAUAUAUAUAUAUAUAUAGGGUCAGGUACUAUUCAUUAAUAGAUUGGGACCUUGUCCUUAUAUUCAAAUCGACAUUUGAAUGAUUCAGAACUUCAAAUGAUAUCGGCACUGUUUGAAGUUGUAUCUACACAAUUAAAAUGUUUUAGAAAACAAUUAAUGUAAUAUUUUAAAUAUUAAUAAGUUUAUUUAAGGUGAAAAAUGAAAAGUUAUAAAUGAAUAACCUAUCUUAAAUAGGGUUUUAGACUUUAUAGUUGUAAUCAGAGUUAUAAACAUUAUCUAUAGUAUAAAAUUUACAUCUAUAAAAAUUCAAGGAUUUGGUCAUUGUCUCGCGUAUAAAAAGCAACGGUAUAGGGCGUCAACAUUGUCGAUUUUACGAUACUUUUGCAUCCCAUGGUAAAACCAUUAUCAAUUUAUGAAAUUUGUUUCUAGAUUUUCAAAUAUUUUAGAUCAACUUAAACGGCUACGAUAUCGGUAUUCGGAUCCUCGAUUCAUCAAAAAUAUGAUAGAGAUAAGUGCUACAUUUCUAUUAAUAGCGAUAUGUUGCUGGCUCUAACCUUUAUAUAUAUAGACAGGGUUGAGGCUUAUGCUAUCGGAAGCAAUGGAGCUUGCCGUAGCUUUCCAGCCUCCGUUUUCAGAUGUUAGCCGACUUUUCGAAUCUGUCGAUCGGCUCAUUAAAUUAUUAGAGUAUUUUGGAGUUUAGAAAUAAAUUUUAUUAUUUUUUCAAUAUAUUUGACUAGUGAUCAAAUGGGCUAAAUCAACAAAUUUCAAUGAGCCAUAGUGAGCAAGUUGCAGUUUAACGGUAUAUGUAGAAAUAAUCAAAUCCUGAAAUUUUGAUAGAAGAAAAUUCUUUUACUUAAUAAAAAGAUCAAAUAUCUUUGAUUUAAAAUUUUAAUGUUUUAUUUAUAUUUUGUAAAAUUUUUAUUUUCAGCCGUUGAUUUGAGCCUUUCUGUUCACUAGACAAAUGAUAUCGUAAAUCAUUUUUUAAAAUUUAUUUUCUAGGUACUCAAUGUACUAUAGAUCAGUUUACGGGCCGAUCGAGUUCGAAAGUGCGCACAUCGAACGAGUGGGCAGGAGCUCGUGCUAUCGAAUACAGCAUUUAUUAGCUACUCUAUAUUAUAGUGGUAUUAUAUUCUUAUGAGUAUUAGUUUUCGUACCUCAUAGUAUUUUCGAUGUUGAGAUUUUCGAAUCGACGAUCCACACCGUUAACUUGAUCUAAAGUAUUUUGAAUUUCGCUAAAAAUAAAUUUCGUUAUUUUUUCGAAAUAUUAUAAUGCCCAUCAAGUGGGCUAUAAUGACAACGAGUUUUAAAUCGAACACAUUUAAAAUGGAUAAUCGGAUACUUCAAUUUUGAAGAUCUUGGGUUAUUAUAUUUACGAGCGCUUCGUAUUAGGUUGUUUUCGAUGAUGAGUUUGAAUCGACGAAUCCUCCGUUAAUAUUUAUCUAGAACAUUUAAGUCUUGAAACUAUUUUUAAUUUUCGAUAUCAUUACUUACGAUCAAAUGUCCAAUUGAUAAUUUUUUUACAGCGGAUAUGAUAUUUGUAGUUUCGUGUUGAAAAGAAUCGGAAUUGUUGAAGUUUUUGGUAGUAAAAAAUUUAUUCAACUACCUAAAUAAGAUCAUAACUCUGAUCUUAAUUUAGGAUCCGACAUAUCCUUUUUAAGUGUCAAUUCGUUUUAACCGUUUCAUUUCCUAUACCGCUUGAUGAAUUUUUAAUGAUUUUGAAAUUACGAAAUUUAUUUUCUAGAAAGUUCCAAUACUCUAAUUUUUUUUAAACGGUUAGAUCGUACGAUUCAAAAGUCAACAUCUGAAAAACAUUAUGAGUACGAAGCCCUCUUACUCAUAGGGAGUAUGUAGCAUAUAUUAAUAUAUAUAUAUAUAUAUAUAAUAAUAUAUAUGGAGAGAGAGAGAAGAGGGAGACGAGAGAGCAGAGAGCGAGGAGAGGUUUAGAGAGAGAUGAGCGAGAGAGAGAGGUCGCUGGCCUGAAAGUAUAUCGAUAGCACGCAACGGAUUUGGUUAUACGGUUUAUCACGUUAAUUUAUCUUUUAAUUAUUUUUCCGAUAGAUUAUAUUGACAAACGUUACUUAACCUAGGUUGCCCACAUUAUCCUAACCAUCAAAUUUCAAUCUAUGGCUAAAAAUCCAUAGAUCAAUAACAUCAAUAGAAUUGGUGCUAUUGUGCAUUCCAGCAUAGAUUCCUAUACUAUAUCUAUAUAUUAUAAUAUAUAUAAUAUUUUGAACUCUUCAAAUUUGGAUGGAAAAUUUCAGAAAUGUUACCCUAUUUUUGGAUUAGCCUAAUCCUUCUCUUUUCUUCCGUGCUUCCGGCUCGUUUUCGAUGUUGCGACUUUCGAAUCGUCGAUCGGCUCCGUUAAACUUGAUCUAGAAUAUUUGAUGUACCUAGAAAAUAAAUUAUGCAAUUUUUUGAUAUUAUUUGCCUAGUGAACGAAGAGGCUCAAAAUCAACGGCUGAAAAUAAAAAUCUUACAAAACGUGAUAAUAUGACGUUAAAAUUUUAGAUCAAAGAUAUUGAUCUUGUUUUAUAUAGCAUAAAUAAUUUUCUAUAAAAAUUUCACGUGAUUUGGAUAUUUCUACACCGUUAAACUUGCAAACGGCUCACUGCGACUAUUAAAAUUAUUGAUUUUGAGCCCCUUCGAUCACUAGGCAAAUGAUAUCAAAAAAUCAGAAAAUUUAUUUUCUAGGUACUUCAAAUAUUCUGAUCAAAUUUAACAGAGCCGAUCGACGAUUCGAAAGUCGCAACAUCGAAAAUGAGCCGGAAGCACGGAAGGCUUCAUGUUUCCGAUAGCAUAGUAGCCUCACACACACACACACACACACACACACACACACUAUGAGUAGGGCUACUAUACUCUUAUGACUAUAGAACCCUUCGUACUCAUAAGUUGUUUUUGAUAUUGGGGUUUAUAUAUAUAGAGUCCGGCUAUGGUGCUUGUAAAAGCACAAAGCAUUUGGUGCUUGUAAAUUUUUUACCGUUAGAUCUCUGCCUUCGAUCAUUUUUAUCCGUUAGAUUAUACUAUUCAACCAACCACCUACUNNNNNNNNNNNNNNNNNNNNNNNNNCUAGGCUACUAUACUAUCGGUAGCACGGAGCGCUCCGUGCUACCAAGUUGUUUUCGAUGAUGCGGCUUCCAAAUCGACGAUCGGCUCCGUUAGACUUGAUUUACACUAUUGAAAGUAUUUGGAAACUAAAUUUCAAAUUUUUUCGACAUCAUUUGACUAGUGAUCGAAAGAUCUCAAAAUUGACAAUUUUAAUGGCCGAUGUGGUGUGUUUGAGAGUUUAACGGUGUAAAACAAUUCAAAUCCGAUGAAAAUUUUAUAGAAAAUUUUUUUCACUAUUUAGAGUAAGAUCAGUAUAUAUCUUGAAUUUAAAUUUUUUAUUAUCAUUUUUCAUGAGAUUUUUAUUUUCAGCCGUUCAAUUUUAGAGUACUUGUUUGAUAGGUACAUGAUAUAUAUAUAGAACUAGGCUGGAAUACUAUUAAUAGCAUCAAGCCAUUGGUGCUAUUAAUUUUGUAGCCCUUGGAUUGAGAAAUGUAUGAUUAGGAUGAUGUGGACCCCAUAGGGUUGAGUGGGUGGUUGGUUGAAUAGUAUAAUCUAACGGGUAAAAAUAAUUAAAGGGUUAACUCUAACGGUAGAAAACUCGAUAGCACCAACCCUUUGUGCUAUCGAUAGUAUUCCAGUCGGACUAUAUAUAUAUAUAUAUAUAGGCUAGAGCUACUAUACUCUUAUGAAUAUAGAGCCUUUCAUACUCAUAAGUUGUUUUCAAUGAUUGAGCUUCCGAAUUGACGAUCCACUCCGUUAAAUAUGAUCUAGAAUAUUUGAAACUUCUAGAAAGUAAAUUUCGUAAUUUUUCGAAAUCAUAAUAAAGUUCAUCAAGCGGGUAUAAAAUGAACGGUCAAAAUUGAACGACAUCUUAAAAAUUGAUGUUCGGAUCAUUCAAUUUAAGAUUGGAGUUAUUGAUUUUUAUCUAUGUAGUGAAUAGAAUUAUUUAUAGAAAAUUCAACCGAUUUCGAUUCUUUUACACCGUUAAACUAGCAAAUAUCCCAUACCGGCCGUUAAAAAUUGUCAAUUUUGUGACAUUUUGAUCGUAAGGUAAAUGAUGUUGAAAAAUUAUAAAAUUUGAUUUCUAGACGUUUUAAAUGCUCUAAAUAGCGUUUAACGGUGUGAAUCGUCGAUUCGGAAGCUCUGUCAUAAAAAAGAACUUAUGAGUACGAGGGCAAACGGGCUCCGUUGAGUUAGAAUACUAUCGAUAGCAAACGGGCUCCGUUGCCACCCAUUUGUUUUCAAUGAUAGAGCCUCCAAAUCGACUAU
rnacentral:lncRNA from 1 species